rnacentral:rRNA from 1 species
AUUGAACGCUGGCGGCAGGCCUAACACAUGCAAGUCGAGCGGAUGAGUGGAGCUUGCUCCGUGAUUCAGCGGCGGACGGGUGAGUAAUGCCUAGGAAUCUGCCUGGUAGUGGGGGACAACGUUUCGAAAGGAACGCUAAUACCGCAUACGUCCUACGGGAGAAAGUGGGGGAUCUUCGGACCUCACGCUAUCAGAUGAGCCCAGGUCGGAUUAGCUAGUUGGUGAGGUAAAGGCUCACCAAGGCGACGAUCCGUAACUGGUCUGAGAGGAUGGUCAGUCACACUGGAACUGAGACACGGUCCAGACUCCUACGGGAGGCAGCAGUGGGGAAUAUUGGACAAUGGGCGAAAGCCUGAUCCAGCCAUGCCGCGUGUGUGAAGAAGGUCUUCGGAUUGUAAAGCACUUUAAGUUGGGAGGAAGGGCAGUAAGUUAAUACCUUGCUGUUUUGACGUUACCAACAGAAUAAGCACCGGCUAACUUCGUGCCAGCCGCCGCGGUAAAAC